CCUACGGGAGGCAGCAGUAGGGAAUUUUCGGCAAUGGGGGGAACCCUGACCGAGCAACGCCGCGUGAACGAAGAAGUUAUUCGUAAUGUAAAGUUCUUUUAACAGGGAAGAAAGAGAAAUUUGACGGUACCUGAAGAAUAAGCUCCGGCUAACUACGUGCCAGCAGCCGCGGUAAUACGUAGGAAGCGAGCGUUAUCCGGAUUUAUUGGGCGUAAAGGGUGCGUAGAUGGCAUAGUAAGUCUUUUGUAAAAAUGCUGGGCUCAACCCAGUAGGGGAAAAGAUACUGAAGAGCUAGGGUAUGAGAGAGGCAAGUGGAACGACAGGUGUAGCGGUAAAAUGCAUAGAUA
rnacentral:rRNA from 1 species